rnacentral:rRNA from 1 species
UCAGGACGAACGCUGGCGGCGUGCUUAACACAUGCAAGUCGAACGAGGCCCAAGCGUCAGCAAUGACGUGGAAGGCCUAGUGGCGAACGGGUGAGUAACACGUGAGGAACCUACCCCGGACUCAGGGAUAACAGACGGAAACAUCUGCUAAUACCUGAUGCCGUCGGAGCAUCACAUGGUGCACUGACGAAAGAAUCUCGGUUCGGGAGGGCCUCGCGGCCUAUCAGCUAGUUGGUGGGGUAACGGCCUACCAAGGCAUCGACGGGUAGCUGGUCUGAGAGGAUGAUCAGCCACACUGGGACUGAGACACGGCCCAGACUCCUACGGGAGGCAGCAGUGGGGAAUCUUGCGCAAUGGGCGAAAGCCUGACGCAGCAACGCCGCGUGCGGGAAGAAGGCCUUAGGGUUGUAAACCGCUUUCAGUAGGAACGAAAAUGACGGUACCUGCAGAAGAAGGUGCGGCCAACUACGUGCCAGCAGCCGCGGUGACACGUAGGCACCAAGCGUUGUCCGGAUUUAUUGGGCGUAAAGAGCUCGUAGGCGGUUCAGUAAGUCGGGUGUGAAAACUCUGGGCUUAACCCAGAGCCGCCACUCGAUACUGCCGUGACUUGAGUUCGGUAGGGGAGCAGGGAAUUCCUAGUGUAGCGGUGAAAUGCGCAGAUAUUAGGAGGAACACCGGUGGCGAAGGCGCUGCUCUGGGCCGAUACUGACGCUGAGGAGCGAAAGCGUGGGUAGCAAACAGGAUUAGAUACCCUGGUAGUCCACGCCGUAAACGUUGGGCACUAGGUGUGGGUUCCAACCAACGGAAUCCGCGCCGUCGCUAACGCAUUAAGUGCCCCGCCUGGGGAGUACGGCGGCAACGCUAAAACU